rnacentral:rRNA from 1 species
GAUGAACGCUGGCGGCGUGCCUAAUACAUGCAAGUCGAGCGAACAGACGAGGAGCUUGCUCCUCUGACGUUAGCGGCGGACGGGUGAGUAACACGUGGAUAACCUACCUAUAAGACUGGGAUAACUUCGGGAAACCGGAGCUAAUACCGGAUAAUAUAUUGAACCGCAUGGUUCAAUAGUGAAAUACGGUUGUUCUGGCACUUAUCGAUGGAUCCGCGCCUCAUUAGCUAGUUGGUAAGGUAACGGCUUACCAAGGAAACGAUGCAUAGCCGACCGGAGAGGUGAUCGGCCACACUGGAACUGAGCCACGGUCCAGACUCCUACGGGAGGCAGCAGUAGGGAAUCUUCCGCAAUGGGCGAAAGCUUGACGGAGCAACGCCGCGUGAGUGAUGAAGGUCUUCGGAUCGUAAAACUCUGUUAUUAGGGAAGAACAAAUGUGUAAGUAACUAUGCACGUCUUGACGGUACCUAAUCAGAAAGCCACGGCUAACUACGUG